rnacentral:rRNA from 1 species
CCUACGGGAGGCUGCAGUGAGGAAUAUUGGUCAAUGGCCGGAAGGCUGAACCAGCCAAGCCGCGUGAGGGAAGAAGGCGCAGAGCGUCGCAGACCUCUUUUGCCGGGGGACAAAAGGCCGGACGGGUCCGGUGCUGAGGGUACCCGGAGACAAAGCAUCGGCUAACUCCGUGCCAGCAGCCGCGGUAAUACGGAGGAUGCGAGCGUUAUCCGGAUUCAUUGGGUUUAAAGGGUGCGCAGGCGGGCCUUUAAGCCGGCGGUGAAAGCGCGGGGCUCAACCCCGCCGAGCCGUUGGAACUGGGCGCGUUGAGUGCGGAGGAGGCAUGCGGAAUGCGGGGUGUAGCGGUGAAAAG